rnacentral:rRNA from 1 species
AGCUGCAAGUCGGUGACGGCAAGCAAAUCUCUUAAAGCCAGUCUCAGUUCGGAUUGUAGGCUGCAACUCGCCUACAUGAAGUCGGAAUCGCUAGUAAUCGCGGAUCAGCACGCCGCGGUGAAUACGUUCCCGGGCCUUGUACACACCGCCCGUCACACCACGAGAGUUUGUAACACCCGAAGUCGGUGAGGUAACCUAUUAGGAGCCAGCCGCCUAAGGUGGGAUAGAUGAUUGGGGUGAAGUCGUAACAAGGUACC